AACAAGCACUGUUACCUCACCAACUUGCAAACAACUCAGUUUCAGGCAUAAAUGUAGUAGGGAAUUCUAGAUCCACUGUCACAGAUACAACCAAACUAGAUUACAAAAUAAUAUAAAACAAAUUUAUUCAUGGAUCUAAACACAAUGAAAUCUUCUAUUUUGCACAUCUAUGAUGGGGAGCAGGACUGCAUCAUUUCCAAAAGAAAUAAACAAGUAGAAACUUUGGAUCACGAGACCAUUUUACAACGGGUUCUCAACUUUGCAACUUCUAGGAGCAAC
rnacentral:lncRNA from 1 species